CAGUAGCCGCGGGAAUACCGAGGAUGCAAGCGUUAUCCGGAAUGAUUGGGCGUAAAGCGUCUGUAGGUGGCUUUUCAAGUCCGCCGUCAAAUCCCAGGGCUCAACCCUGGACAGGCGGUGGAAACUACCAAGCUGGAGUACGGUAGGGGCAGAGGGAAUUUCCGGUGGAGCGGUGAAAUGCGUAGAUAUCGGAAGGAACACCUGUGGCGAAAGCGGCUCACUGGACCAUAACUGACGCUGAAGCACGAAAGCUAGGGGAGCAAACAGGAUUAGAUACCCCCGUAGUCCCUGUCUCUUAUAC
rnacentral:rRNA from 1 species